UACGUAGGGUCCGAGCGUUGUCCGGAAUUAUUGGGCGUAAAGAGCUCGUAGGCGGUUUGUCGCGUCUGCUGUGAAAUCCCGAGGCUCAACCUCGGGCCUGCAGUGGGUACGGGCAGACUGGAGUGCGGUAGGGGAGAAUGGAAUUCCUGGUGUAGCGGUGGAAUGCGCAGAUAUCAGGAGGAACACCGGUGGCGAAGGCGGGUCACUGGUCCGGUACUGACGCUGAGGUGCGAAAGCGUGGGGAGCAAACAGG
rnacentral:rRNA from 1 species